rnacentral:lncRNA from 1 species
CAAGUUCUUAUACUUCUUCAAUAGUUGUGACCUUCAUAUCAAACUUAUUGUGAAGAGAUCUUAGGGUUUUUCUAGCAAGCUUUUGUUCAUACAUGUUUUCGCCCAAUGUAAAGGAAGAAUUGGCAAUGUCGCAUAAUAUGAUGUUAAAGUCAUAAAUAGAUUUAUCUUCAUUAAUUAUAAUAUUCUGAAACUUUGUAGUGAGGAGUUGCAGCCUUGACAUCAUAACCUUGGAUGUGCCUUCAUGAGCAGUUUGGAGAAUCUCUCAUGCAUCUUUGGCUUCAAUAUAUGUGUUGAUCAAUCUAAACAUGUUCUUGUCAACACCAUUGAAAAUAAAAUUGAAUCCUUGGAGUUUCCAAGAGCUUAAUUAUCUUUUGCAUUAGUCCACUCAGCUUCUAGCUUUAAGCUUGACAUACCAUCUUAAGAAAUAUUCACAUGGUGUUUCUAGCCUUUUACAUUACCUUCCAUGUUUUCUCGUCCAUGGAUUUGAGAAAAGAAACCAUCUUUGCUUUCCAAUAAUCAUAAUUUGUGUCAUCCAAGAUAGGUGGUAUGUUGAUUGACCCUCCAUCCUUACUCAUAUCCAUUUAAACAGAAAAUAUCUUCCCUAGAGCUCACCCCAAACAGAACAAGGUGACUGCUCUGAUACCAAUUAAAAUUUUGUUCCUGAGGGGACAGAUGUUGGACACAAUAUUGGGAUAACUGGCCCAACUUAUUAAACCAGUAUGAUAUCAAUAUAACAACAACAAUAACAUAAUAUAGACAUCAAUAAAAUGAAAUAAGAGAUUGGUAACCUAUUUCAGUGUAACCACACCUACGUCUAAGGGGCAUUCUACCCAACA